AACGCAUCUUGCGCUCCUUGGUAUUCCGAGGAGCAUGCCUGUUUGAGUGUCAUUUAAACCUUCUCAACUGCUCCAAAUUUUAUUUUUUGGAUGUGGCUUGGAAAUGGGGGAUGUUGUGCAGGCUUUCUUUUGAAUGUCUGCUCCCCUGAAAUGUAUUAGUGGCUUCUGAGCAGACUACCACAGGUGUGAUAACUAUCAACGCCUUGGUAUGCUUUUGCUGCUUCUAACAACCCAAUUGACCAACUUGACCUCAAAUCAGGUAGGAUUACCCGCUGAACUUAA
rnacentral:misc_RNA from 1 species